UGUUAGCCGUUGUGGUAUUGCCAUUACUAGGUGCACUGAUCUGAGGCAGGACAGGGCUAGUCCAGGCCAAAGCUGUUCCGGCAGCUACAGCCCCCAAGCAAACUGAGAAAGGCAGAAAGAGAGGAUUGUUCCAAAAAUUCAGUGAUUGAAACGCAAAGGGCGACUACUUACCAAUAAAAGCAGCCAGAUAUUGACGCGUCUUGGAUGUCUUAACAACACCAUCUUGCAGUGGAUCGUAGAGCAUUGGAUUGCGUGCAGUGGGAUCGGCAUCCUCUUGGCUAACGGUCUGCGGGGUGAGAGAGGCGGAUGUCCAAUGAUCAGCAACACGUGCUACCAGUUGACUGUGUGACGACAACCCCACCAGAACGCCCUAUCCCUCCCCUGUUGGCGAAUGUCUUGGCGCCGAGCGAAGCAAAUUAAAUCGAUUCCACAAAUCGUGCCAAAACAGCUAUAGCAACGACAGAAAAAUGCUGCUCAUGGUCCUCAGUUCGUCUCUUACGCUAAUUUUGACUUUUAUAUCUGCAACAUGCGGAAUUAUAUGCAAACUGCUCUUUGCCGUUUGGGCAAUGCUAAAGACUUUUUAUAGCACUCUGACGCUGCUGCGAGACGCACGCAAAUGCCAAGCAAAAAUAACCAAAAUUUGGGACACGUUGCACGCCUCCGCCGGACUGAGAGCAUUUAGGAAGAACAAGUCGAAGCAAAAAUUAAAUAUUUCUUAAUUGAACGAGCACACGCCUUCUUCUUCUGCUUCUGUUCUUGGACCGCCUCAUUAAUUAUCUUCAACCAACAACAAAACAACUAUGUAUAUCUG